CUGGGUCCUCCUGCGUUCAGUCCUUCUCCCUCCAUGGGCACCCUAUCUCGGAUCAUCUCUCCUCUCUCAGGCUCUACUCGCUUUCAGCAGGCCCCAGCUCUUCACACAAGACCCACAGCCCCCUACACACCCACACCCACGCAGCACCCCACCCUCACCGUUCCCAGGCGAGGGCUCCUGCACCUUCCUGAAGGGACGUUAAGAUAUUGAGUACUUGGGCAACUCUGUAACCAUGGGGGCAUGCCAGUUUAUCAUGGGCAAGCCUGAACCUCAGCGAGGCCCAGGGGAGAGGCUGUAUCCCCACCCCUUCCUGGGGAAUCUCAGCAGACAGGCCCUUAAUCUCAGGCAGGAAGCAGGGUCCAGUUACGUGGAGGGGGGGGGGAACACGGGGGGAAUACCCAGGGUUUGGGUAAAGGGAGUUGGGGUGGGGGGAGGGGGGAGGGAAGGAAAAGAGCUGAGUGGGAUACAGGCUGAGAGAUUAACCCUUCACAGCCAGGCUCCUCUCUGCUCCCCAUCCUGUGCUCUUGGAGACUCCAUAAUUCCCUGGCACAAUAAGGCUUUGCCGGGACAGGCCUCCCAUGUAAGGCACCCCCAAGGCCUCUGGCCACAGGACAGCAAAACAGCCUUGGCUAGGGCCCCACUCUCUCCAAGGUCCUCUUCUGGUUUCCUGUGAGCCACAUGUAUCUCUGUUUGCCCCAUGACUCUAUUAGUCUCUCGGGGUUUCUGAAUCUCUGUGUUUCUCUGCUGUUUGUCUGAUUCUGUGUCUCUCAGGGCCCCUGUAUUUCUGCCUGCAUCACGAUGUGUCUUCUGUACAUCCACCCCUCUCUCUGCGAUCUGUAAAACCUCUGUGUGCUUGUCCGGAGUGGAGGGUCUGCACCUCCCUCUCUGUGUCUGUCUGCUGUCUCUGGGGCUCUGAGUCUGCUUAAGUCUCCGUAUCUCCAUGUCUCUCUCGCUCUGCGUCUUGAGCUAUCUAGGUCUCAGUGUGCCUGCUGCAUGUCUGUCUGUCUGUCUGGGACUGGGCCUCCAUCUGUGAGUCUGCUCCAGGCCUGUCUGUCUCUGACCUGGGACCCUUUGGCUUGUCCAUUCGGUUAACUUUGUGCGGUGGGGACGAGAUGGGGCAGACUUAUGGGCUGGACCAAGGAUAGAUGGAUGAAGGGAGGAGGGAGAAAGGGGACACAGGCAGUAGUGGGGCAAAGAGAUCUAGGGACAAACUCCCGUUCCUAAAUGGUGCCUGAGGCCGGUGGACAGCCCUGGAAGACCAGGAGGCAGCACCGCCAAGCCAGUGGGUGAGGGAGGGAGUGACACGGCAGGCAACACGCCUGGUCAGUGGUGGGAGCAGAGUGGCACAGAAACUGAAACAGAUGUCAAAUGGGGAGGGCCCAGAAGCGAAUGGAAAGACAGACGGGCAGCAGUGGGUUCUGAUCCUGGCCCCACCACUAACCCCUGCGGACCUGGGGCUGGGUGCUUUCCGUCUCUGUGCCUCAGUCAUCUGCUCUGUAAAAUGGGACAGUCAGCAGAGAACAUCCUCUAGAAUUCUGUGAGAGAGCCAGGCGGGCAGAAGACCUCCCUAAACCCAGGGCAGGAGACUGGUGGCCCCUUUGUCCCUUGAGGGGGUAUCCCAAAGUCCCUUCCCAGUACCAAGAUCCUCUGUGUCAAUGCAGCCAGGGUCAGAACAGAGGGAAGAUGGAAGUUAGAUAGCAGGAAGGACUUCCUGCCACACAGCAGGAGGGUGAAGAGGCCCCAGAUUCUCCUCCCAGCGGUCCUCGAGGCCCCUCUCUUGGGGCUGGGGGUGGAGGGGCAGGGUGGGGGUGGGGGCUCAGCAGCUGGGUAAUUAGCCAUUGCUCUCAGGCCCUGGGGGAGGGGCCGGCUGGACUGAGAAACGAACGCAAAGUGACAGGGGCAGUUUUGACACGCGGUGGAGCUGACGGGCCCAGGGGGCCAGGGCUUUGGUUUGGGGGGGGGGGGUGAAAAUCCCAUCAGAUGAUUAAAAAAUAGGUCAGAGGGAAGAAGCUGCAGCCGGCACUGGGUCCGUGGUGAGAACGCCAUGAAGCUUCCCCAGGGCUUCGGGCCACAAUGGGGUGGGGGAGCUGAGGAGGGUUUGCAGGGGGCGGGUGAGCUAGCAGUGGGGACAAGAAAGCUGUGGGCCCAGCAGCUGGCCCUCUGUCUCCCUCAGCCUGUCUCAUGGGGACACUUUGGAAUUCUACCUGCGGUCCACCUUCUGGCCUUCCUGUACCAUCUUCCUCCUCAAAGGCAGGAAGAUGCAGCUCGUCCUCUGCCCACCCCUACCCCACCCACAAUAUAUACAGAUUCUACCCCAGGAACACUGAGACUGUUGCCCCCACUGAAAACCCUUCUUACCUUCUAGCCUGAGGUCCUCCGGCUGCAAAGGCAGCUGGCUGACUUAUUCUACAUUUCUUGCCCAUCUGAACAAAUUCACCUACCACUGCACUGUCUUUGAAAUCUUGCCAACUCUGCAUCCUGCUUGGGGUCUGCCUUGGCCCUCCAGCUUGUUCUCAGAGAUCCCUUUUCCCUCCUUCCCUCCUUUUCCUCCUUCUCAACUCCUGCCAUGAAACAUAAUAGAGGCCUGGAAAAGGCAAAAGGCAGAGAACAAGGAGGUGUGAGGUAGGAGACCCAGGAGCCUGAGGCAGGUUGAUGAUCUCCAAGCACUUAGUAGAUGGAGGCUAAGUGACUGUGUCUGGAUUGUACAGAACCCUGAGACACCUGGUGGUAUUCCCUUUAUUUAAGCAGUUUAGAGCCACCUCCCACCUUACCUACGUAAUGGUGGGAAGUCCUUUCAGUUGCCUUCCCACAGCCCCUCAUACUGCAGCUUAAUCCAAUUUCCUUUUCUGAGAUCCCUGAAACCCAUGGAGAGAUCAGCACCUACAGCUUGGAGUGGAAGAGAGGCCCGGGACCUACACGCCAUGCUCCGUUCCUCUCAAACCCCAGGCACAGGCAGAAAUCAGGCAGCCAACCAGCGGCCGGAGCAGAGGGACAGACCAGGCAUUAGCAGUGUCAUCUCCAGCUGAGUGGACACCUGGGUCUCAGCCACUGCGAUGGAGGGCACCCAAGGCCAUGUUGGCGCAGAAAUGGAUUGGCUAAAUCUGACCUUGAGUUUAACCCCACUUACCACCCCAGACACAGAUCCACUCUGACACACAAGUCUGAGAUUUCCCCGGGAGCCUGUUGUCUGCUGCCCACCCCCCUCAGUUACCCAAGAAGUGUCACAAGGCGUCCUGCUAACCUCCUUCCACCAGGGCCAUGGGCGGCUGGCACUCUGUGCAGGACCCUGAGACAGCCCCUGGACCUCUAGCCACAGGGGGCAUGAAGCUGGUGUGCCGCCCAUCUCUGCUCCCUCCCCAUGCCUGCCUCCAUUUCUUUCCAAUCAGUGGCACCAGAACCUGACGUUUCUGUGGGUUGGGGAGGGCUGCUUUGGUCAGGUUAAGUCCUCAGCAACUGGACCAGCAACUGGGAAUCAAGAUACUGGGCCAUGGCCUUUGCAUUUCACACACACACACACACUGACCUGGGGUCACCACCCAAGGCUCAGGGCCCCAGGAAUGGGCCGUGUACCAGGGUUCGCAGGCUCCCACUACCCUGGACAUAUUGCCAAGUCCAGCUUGUACUUGGUCUCAUGCCUUGACUCCCAGUGAGUUUGGAAACUGGAAAAACCCGAGUUCUUCCUGAUUCUCCCAUUCGCCCUGCUGCUGCUGGGGGCACGGAGGAAGAGACCAGAGAACACCCCCAGGCAAUUCACACCCUUGAUUUCGUUAGACUGCACAAUGCUGUGAGGUCACCUGGGCAGGGAUCAUGUUCCCCACUUUACAGACAAGGCAGAGAGAAGUUAAGUACCUUGUCAAGGUCACGCAGCUGAUGCCCCAAUGCUGGGCCCUUAUGCUGGCACCAUGCCUUCCCAUGACCCCAAAGAGGAUACUGUUGUUCUUCUCAUUUUACAGAUGAGCAAACUGAUGCUCAGAGGGGUGACUCAGUUUCCCCAGGCUCUCAGUUAUUUUUACCUGCUAUCCCUCUCUCCUCAUAAGGUGUCCCUCUCAACCCAAUUCCACCUUAGAGUCCUUCCCCUUCCUCCAGAGAAAGGCAAGACCCUAAUGCCUCCCCAGAUCACCCAGUGAGCUUUCCCCUGUACUCUGGGAAGUCACUCCUGGUGUCCUGUUCUGCAAAAUUAAACUCCAUUACUCAGCAAAUACCAUCCCAACCUAUGGGGCAGGAGGGGUGGGAAGCAGGACUGAGGAACUGAAAUGGGAGGGACUGGCUCAGAGGCACAGACACGGCCGGCUGGGCCGGGCAUGCUGGCAGUGGAGGAAACCGGGUCCAGACGGGAAGAGCCCGGGAGUCCCAGCUUCCAGGAGCAGGGGUAGGGGGUAGGGACAUUCCUCAGUUCUCUGAACUCCCUGCCCCUGGCAACCAGGCCCACCGCCUCACAUCCAAGCUGGUAGGUGUUUCCAUGUGAGUGGGGAGGGGGCCUGGAUAGCUCUUAGAAAUGGGGGAGGGACGUCACUGGGCAUGCUCCCUGCCAAGCAAUGCUGCCUCCCUCUCCCUGCCCACUCGGAGGUUCAUUACACCUUCAGCUCUGCCCUCGCCCGCCCUCUUGCUUCUCACCUUGGCACCUGUGAGCCAGUAGCCAAGUGAGGGGCAGCAGAGCCAGCUGGAGCUUCCAGCUUCUCCGCCCCUCUCCGUGCCAACCUGACUGCCUAUGGUUCUGGGGACCCCUGUUUGCCCCGGCUGCGGCAAUAGCUCUGGGGGUACCAUGGGGGAGCUUAACAGUUCCCAUUCUGUGCUGGGAGUGAGGAGGGGGGAAAUAGAGCCAUCCUCUGGCCCCAUACUUGCCUCAAGAUCUAAAGCCCCUGAACCUGCCAUCUUUCUUUAAGGAACCCAGGAAGACUUCCAAAGAGAUCAUCUGAGGCAGAGUCCCUUCCUUGCUUGGGCUGUAAUUUCUUCCUCGAGUCUAACCUUGAUUCCUUGCAGAGGGGUGGAAGGGGGCAGAGAUGAAUCGCAGUUUCUUAUAAACCUGGUGGCUUCUUGUUCCCCGAUGACAAUACAGCGGACGAGCUCUGUGGUUCUGGCUCUGAGUCAGGCCCCAUCGCCCGGGCGUCCCCAGUGCCAUCUCCCUCCGCCCCGCCCCAGACUGGAAAAUGAGGCUCACGCUGCUGCCGGAGUCAGUGCUUCCCCUGCUUCCCCUCACGAUCUCGCUUUCCCCUAAAGGGAGGUAUUUCCUCGAAGCUGGGAAAAGUCAAGGGGGCAGAGACCUCACCAGCUACCGGGAGGGGAGGCGGAGGGUGGGCACCGGGCAGGGGGUGGGGGAGGGGCUACCCUGCCUUCCUGUCCCCCCUCCCCCCUUUCAGCCCAGCUCCCCAGUCCUGUUCUUCUAGUUCAUCGGAUGUGUGAGCGAGAGUGCGAGCGUGGUGUGUGCGUGUGUGUGCUUAACACAUGUGUGUGAUUGGUACUGGGGGUGAGUCCCCCUAGCCCCCAAAAGUGGAGGUGGGAUGGAGGAGGCGAGGUGCUGUGCCUCUGGUGUGCUUAUGAGUGACAUGAAUUUUUUUCCACACGUAUGUUCUUCAUAUGUUCCUGUUCACAUAAACUCUCCCUCCCUCCCAGAAUCACGAUUCUGGUCAGUACCCACCUCCCCACCUUGCAACCUGGGGCAUGAAACAGAUUCUUUCCCCUCCUUAAGUGAGAAGAAGCCCCCCCCCCCCCCAAAGAUUGGGGAAUUCAGGAAUCAGUGAAGAGGUGGACACUUCCCAUCUCAAAAAGCUGACUCGUCUUCUUCCCACCAGGGGACCCCCAGCCCUCAGCUGGUGGGGGCAGGUCACAGAUAAGUCGUACAGACCCCCGACCUUCCUGCCUGCUCAAAGGCUCAGAGAGACAUGAACCCCAGUCAUCAGAACGCCACUCCCAGACCCUGGAUGAGGACUAGCGAGUUUGGGGAGGGUCUUGCCCCUUGGGGAAAUUGAAUCUUGGGGAAGGGGUGGUUAGAAGGGCCUGAGUCAGCAAUCUGAAAACCUCACGUGUGCCCACCCCAGCCUGGGGGCGGGCUGGGGAGAAGGAGGGAGCUGAAACAGAAAGAGAGAUGGAGAGACGGAGAAUGAAAGCAGGAGAGAGAGAAACUGAGACAAUGGACAGUCAGAAAGAGAGCAGCGGGCAGAACCGGGGGCGGGGCAGGGCACGGGAAGCAGGGAGAACCGCGGUAAUGGGGGUGCGGGCAGAAGGGGUCACAGGAAUGGUCAUCUUUUCCCUUUCAUCACUAGCAUCACAGAUGCACAAAGGUCAGCGCUGAAAUAAUCCCACUCUCACAAAGGAGGCUUAGUGACAGUCACCAAAAGGGAAAACCAACCUAGGGUAGGACCCACCCUCCUGUCUCCCAGUCUGGGCUCAUUUCCUAAGCCCCGAGGGAACGGGAGGACCAGGCUGCUGGGAUGUUGAGGCACAGCGGGGCAGUCCCAGCAUUCUCUGCUUAACCACCUGCCAGUCUGGGAGGGAAUAGGAUGCCGAGGCAAGCAAGGGGCUCUCUGAUCCCUCAGGUCCCAGGACACCUCUGGCAGAGAGGAAGCCUCCCUCUCCUCGGCCCAUCACGUUCGCCAUCUCCCACCUCCAAGCUGGGGCUGCCGCAUCAUUCCUUACCUUCUUUGGGACAGAAGUAAAUUCAAUGCACAAAGAUCAAGCACCAAAAGUGUUUGUGGGGGUCUGCGUGGUAGACACUGGGACAGGGGAGAAAUAUGUCAAAUAGCACAUAUUUCUUUCUCCGAGGAUCUCACAAGGGAUUGGUCUGACCCUCGGGAACAACCUGCAGGUAAAGGUGGAGCGGAGACCUCUAACAGAGCUGGGAGUCCCCUCUCCAUCCCACCCCAUGGGCCUAGGGCCAGGGUUUCACACUAGACCCUGAUCCUCUUCAUGCCACUUCUGGAAUCUACUCAGAAGCUCCCUUGCUAUUGUUUGGACUAUUCCUCAUGCAGAAUGUUCCUGUGAGUGGCUCCCAGGCUGGCAGGGGAAGUUUGGGCCAUGUCCUGGGAAAUGCCCAAUCUGAUGGGGUAGCAGGACACAGACUGAAGAAAACAACUCCCUAGUUGGGCAAAGCUGGGGUCACCACAGCUGGGAGGGGCCCCGGGGAGAAGGCUCCCAGAGGAGGGAAGGGUGGGUGAAGUAGGCCCCAAAGAAGGACAGGGGCAGGGCUGGGUGUUGGGGCCGAGAGAAGUGCGAGGCUGGGAUGGGGAAUCUGCCCAGUUGGAAGACGGAGGAGCACCAGUGGGUGAAUUUCCCGCCCCACCCCGCCCAGGGGCCAGCUGUUGGACUGGAAAGGCCUGACCUCCCGCCCCCAGCUGCAGGAGUGCUGGAGGCAAGGAAAGAGCCUAAAAGGCCCCCCCAGGGAACCACCUCUCCCCCUUGUUAUUUCUGGCUCCAUUUUUUGGUCAAGAAGGGUGUCAGUGGUAAUGCAAAUUAGGAGGUGUUGGAGGUGCUGGCCGACACCCAUCCUGUCCCCCUCCCAGCCCUCCCCUCCCU